CCGAUCCUGGCCGAGGAGCGGCGACUACUGCUGCUGGCCUGCAGUCGCGCGCGGCGGUCGCUGCUGGUCACCGCGGUCGAAUCGGUC
rnacentral:tRNA from 1 species